rnacentral:rRNA from 1 species
UACGUAGGGGGCAAGCGUUGUCCGGAUUUAUUGGGCGUAAAGAGCGUGUAGGCGGCUUUACAGGUCCGCUGUGAAAACUCGAGGCUCAACCUCGAGACGUCGAUGGAAACCAUCUGGCUAGAGUCCGGAAGAGGAGAGUGGAAUUCCUGGUGUAGCGGUGAAAUGCGCAGAUAUCAGGAAGAACACCCGUGGCGAAGGCGGCUCUCUGGUACGUGACUGACGCUGAGACGCGAAAGCGUGGGGAGCAAACAGG